rnacentral:rRNA from 1 species
UGGGUAACCUGCCUCAAAGAGGGGAAUAGCCUCCCGAAAGGGAGAUUAAUACCGCAUAAUAUGUUUAAGUCGCAUGACUUUAACAUCAAAGGAUUUUCUUUUAGAAAUUCCACUUUGAGAUGGACCCCGCGGCGCAUUAGCUAGUUGGUGAGGUAACGGCUCACCAAGGCAACGAUGCGUAGCCGACCUGAGAGGGUNAUCGGCACAUUGGAACUGAGACACGGUCCAGACUCCGUAGGAG